CGAAGGGUGCAAGCGUUACUCGGAAUUACUGGGCGUAAAGCGUGCGUAGGUGGUUUGUUAAGUCUGUCGUGAAAUCCCCGGGCUCAACCUGGGAAUGGCGAUGGAUACUGGCAAGCUAGAGUGAGGUAGAGGAGAGUGGAAUUCCCGGUGUAGCAGUGAAAUGCGUAGAGAUCGGGAGGAACAUCAGUUGCGAAGGCGGCUCUCUGGACCAUCACUGACACUGAGGCACGAAAGCGUGGGGAGCAACCAGGAUUAGAUACCCUGGUAGUCCACGCCCUAAACGAUGCGAACUGGACGUUGGGCUCAAUUAGGAGCUCAGUGUCGAAGCUAACGCGUUAAGUUCGCCGCCUGGGGAGUACGGUCGCAAGACUG
rnacentral:rRNA from 1 species